rnacentral:rRNA from 1 species
GAUGAACGCUGGCGGCGUGCUUAACACAUGCAAGUCGAGCGAGAAGUUUUGAAAAGAUUCUUCGGAUGAAAUUUAAAAUGGAAAGCGGCGGACGGGUGAGUAACGCGUAGGCAACCUGCCCCAUACAAAGGGAUAGCAUUUGGAAACGAAUAUUAAUACCUUAUGAAACUUAACUAGUGCAUGCUAGGUAGGUCAAAGAUUUAUCGGUAUGGGAUGGGCCUGCGUCUGAUUAGCUAGUUGGUGAGGUAACGGCUCACCAAGGCGACGAUCAGUAGCCGACCUGAGAGGGUGAACGGCCACAUUGGAACUGAGACACGGUCCAAACUCCUACGGGAGGCAGCAGUGGGGAAUAUUGCACAAUGGGGGAAACCCUGAUGCAGCAACGCCGCGUGAACGAUGAAGGCCUUUGGGUCGUAAAGUUCUGUUUCUAGGUGAUGAAAACUGACCGUAACCUAGGAGAAAGCCC